CCUACGUGCGGCAGCAGUGGGGAAUAUUGGGCAAUGGGCGCAAGCCUGACCCAGCAACGCCGCGUGAAGGAAGAAGGCCCUCGGGUUGUAAACUUCUUUUAUCAGGGACGAAACAACUGACGGUACCUGAUGAAUAAGCCACGGCUAACUACGUGCCAGCAGCCGCGGUAAUACGUAGGUGGCAAGCGUUAUCCGGAUUUACUGGGUGGAAAGGGCGUGUAGGCGGGAGAGCAAGUCAGACGUGAAAUUCCAGGGCUCAACCCUGGAACUGCGUUUGAAACUGGUCUUCUUGAGUGAUGGAGAGGCAGGCGGAAGUACGUGUGGAGCGGUGAAAUGCGUAGAUAUACGGAGGAACACCAGUGGCGAAGGCGGCCUGCUGGACAUUAACUGACGCUGAGGCGCGAAAGCGUGGGGAGCAAACAGGAUUAGAUACCUUGGUAGUC
rnacentral:rRNA from 1 species